rnacentral:rRNA from 1 species
CCUACGGGAGGCAGCAGUGAGGAAUAUUGGUCAAUGGGCGUAAGCCUGAACCAGCCAAGUCGCGUGAGGGAUGAAGGUUCUAUGGAUCGUAAACCUCUUUUAUAUGGGAAUAAAGUGUGGGACGUGUCCUUUUUUGUAUGUACCUUAUGAAUAAGGAUCGGCUAACUCCGCGCCAGCAGCCGCGGUAAUACGGAGGAUCCGCGCGUUAUCGGGAUUUAGUGGGUUUAAAGGGUGCGUAGGCGGCCUUUUAAGUCAGCGGUGAAAGCUUGUGGGUCAACCAUAGAAUUGCCGGUGAAACUGGGGGGCUUGAGUAUGUUAGAGGCAGGCGGAAUGCGUGGUGUAGCGGUGAAAUGCUUAGAUAGCACGAAGAACCCCGAUUGCGAAGGCAGCCUGC